rnacentral:rRNA from 1 species
UACGUAGGGUGCAAGCGUUAUCCGGAAUUUAUUGGGCGUAAAGAGCUCGUAGGCGGUUCGUCGCGUCGGCUGUGAAAUCCCGAGGCUCAACCUCGGGUCUGCAGUCGAUACGGGCGGACUGGAGUUCGGCAGGGGAGACUGGAAUUCCUGGUGUAGCGGGUGAAAUGCGCAGAUAUCAGGAGGAACACCGGUGGCGAAGGCGGGUCUCUGGGCCGAUACUGACGCUGAGGAGCGAAAGCGUGGGGAGCGAACAGG